UACGGAGGGUGCAAGCGUUAAUCGGAAUACUGGGCGUAAAGCGCACGCAGGCGGUCAUUCAAGUCGAGUGUGAAAGCCCCCGGCUCAACUGGGGAGGGUCACUCGAUACUGUUUGACUCGAAGGCGGGAGAGGGAAGUGGAAUUCCCGGUGUAGUGGUGAAAUGCGUAGAUAUCCGGAGGAACACCGGUGGCGAAGGCGGCUUCCUGGACCGACACUGACGCUGAGGCGCGAAAGCUAGGGGAGCAAACGGG
rnacentral:rRNA from 1 species